UACGUAGGGUGCAAGCGUUGUCCGGAAUUAUUGGGCGUAAAGAGCUCGUAGGCGGUUUGUCGCGUCUGCUGUGAAAACCCGAGGCUCAACCUCGGGCCUGCAGUGGGUACGGGCAGGCUAGAGGUAGGUAGGGGAGAAUGGAAUUCCCGGUGUAGCGGUGAAAUGCGCAGAUAUCGGGAGGAACACCGGUGGCGAAGGCGGUCUCUGGGCCGGAACUGACGCUGAGGAGCGAAAGCGUGGGGAGCGAACAGG
rnacentral:rRNA from 1 species